rnacentral:rRNA from 1 species
UAGAGUUUGAUCCUGGCUCAGGAUGAACGCUAGCGGCAGGCCUAACACAUGCAAGUCGAGGGGUAACAGGGAGUGCUUGCACUCCGCUGACGACCGGCGCACGGGUGCGUAACGCGUAUACAAUCUACCUUUUGCUGAGGGAUAGCCCAGAGAAAUUUGGAUUAACACCUCAUAGUAUGCAGGCUUUCUCAUGGAGGCUGCAUUAAAGGUUACGGCAGAAGAUGAGUAUGCGUCCUAUUAGCUUGUUGGUAAGGUAACGGCUUACCAAGGCGACGAUAGGUAGGGGCCCUGAGAGGGGGAUCCCCCACACUGGUACUGAGACACGGACCAGACUCCUACGGGAGGCAGCAGUGAGGAAUAUUGGACAAUGGAGCAACUCUGAUCCAGACAUGCCGCGUGCAGGAAGACUGCCCUAUGGGUUGUAAACUGCUUUUAUACGGGAAGAAACCCUCCCACGUGUGGGGGGCUGACGGUACCGUAAGAAUAAGCAUCGGCUAACUCCGUGCCAGCAGCCGCGGUAAUACGGAGGAUGCAAGCGUUAUCCGGAAUCAUUGGGUUUAAAGGGUCCGUAGGCGGACGAUUAAGUCAGGGGUGAAAGAUUGCAGCUCAACUGUAAAAUUGCCCUUGAUACUGGUUGUGUUGAAUUACUGUGAAGUCGUUAGAAUAUGUAGUGUAGCUGUGAAAUGCAUAGAUAUUACACAGAAUACCAAUUGCGAAGGCAGAUCACUAACACUAUAUUGACGCUGAGGGACGAAAGCGUGGGGAGCGAACAGGAUUAGAUACCCUGGUAGUCCACGCCGUAAACGAUGGAUACUAGCUGUUCGAACUUCGGUUUGAGUGGCUAAGCGAAAGUGAUAAGUAUCCCACCUGGGGAGUACGUUCGCAAGAAUGAAACUCAAAGGAAUUGACGGGGGCCCGCACAAGCGGUGGAGCAUGUGGUUUAAUUCGAUGAUACGCGAGGAACCUUACCAGGGCUUAAAUGUAGCUGGACAGGAGUGGAAACACUUUUUUCUUCGGACAUUUUACAAGGUGCUGCAUGGUUGUCGUCAGCUCGUGCCGUGAGGUGUCAGGUUAAGUCCUAUAACGAGCGCAACCCCUGCCGUUAGUUGCCAGCGAGUGAAGUCGGGAACUCUAACGGGACUGCCGGUGCAAACCGCGAGGAAGGUGGGGAUGACGUCAAAUCAUCACGGCCCUUACGUCCUGGGCUACACACGUGCUACAAUGGCCGGUACAGAGAGCAGCCAUGUUGCAAGGGGGAGCGAAUCCUUAAAGCCGGUCUCAGUUCGGAUCGGGGUCUGCAACUCGGCCCCGUGAAGCUGGAAUCGCUAGUAAUCGGAUAUCAGCCAUGAUCCGGUGAAUACGUUCCCGGGCCUUGUACACACCGCCCGUC